CUUUGCAGAGAGGUAGUGGUUGAAUUGCCACAGCCUUUGAAACUGAAGAUAACCAAUGAAAUAGUUGAGAGGUUAAAAACCUUGAGGCCCAAAGAAAAUGUUACUGAGCAGAGAGAUGUUGCAAGGAAAAACUAAAAAGAAGCUAAGCAGUUGGCUCUUGAGACAGAGGCGUCAAAUUCCACAGUUCGUCAUGAGGAAGCAGAAGAUCAAAUUUUGCCUGGCAGGCCGCCUCUGCCUGAAUGCCAUGUGGAAGUUCAUACAGAUUCUGAUGAAUCUCUAAAUUAAGAUACAAGCCUUUGCUUUAGCUUUUCACCGGUUAGGGUUUGCUUGGAUCAAGCUAAACGUGCCAAGCCUAAUGAAAAGAGAUGUAAUAUAUGGGUAUACUGCCCGUUUGAAAGUGGUUGCCAUUCUCCGGAUAUUUAUGGGCAUAGACUUGGACAGUGCUGGCUGAAAUACGUAAGAAUUAAACCUCUAUUGGCACAUUCAUUACUUUUUCCUUUAAUCUGUGUUUCAUCCAGAUGAGUCUCAAUUAUGUGGAACAAUUCUUUGUAAGAGAGAGUGGGGUGGAGUUACUGAAGGUUAAGCUACGCCCCAUGCUUGUUUGUUCACAAGUCAUUUUUUGUAAUACGGAUUGUCAUCGUAUUGGUGCUGACCGUUCAAGGUGAAGAAGUCUUGGUCGGAGGCAAAGUGAGCUUUGUUGUUAGACGUUGAAACUUACCCUGUGAAUUAUACUCUCGUAUCUUUUC